UACGUAGGGGGCAAGCGUUGUCCGGAAUCAUUGGGCGUAAAGAGCGUGUAGGCGGCCCGGUAAGUCCGCUGUGAAAGUCCAGGGCUCAACCCUGGGAUGCCGGUGGAUACUGUCGGGCUCGAGUCCGGAAGAGGAGUGUGGAAUUCCUGGUGUAGCGGUGAAAUCCGCAGAUAUCAGGAGGAACACCAAUGGCGAAGGCAGCACUCUGGGACGUGACUGACGCUGAGGAACGAAAGCGUGGGGAGCGAACAGG
rnacentral:rRNA from 1 species